ACUGUGCUCUGGGAUCUGUCUACCAUGAGGUUGUCCUAGGCUGGGCAGCAGGUAGACCCAGAACUGGCUUACCUGGGCAAUAAGGAUGCCAACGACGAUUCCCAGCUGGUGCAGUGUGCCUAGGGCUCCACGUAGAGCUGUAGGUGACACCUCUCCCACAUACAUGGGCACAAAGCCAGUAGUCAGGCCGCAGUACACACCGAUGAUGAAGCGGCCCAGGAUCAGCAUCUCAAAGGACUUGCCCAGUUUGGAGAAGCCCAUAAGCACAGCAGCCACAAAGGCCAACAGGUUCAUCAUCAGCAUGGAGUUCCGCCUGAGGAUGGGUCACAGCGAUUAACAAAGAGGCCGACAGAGAAGGAACCAAUCAUGCCCCCGACAGAGAAGAUGGCCACGGAGAGAGACCAAAGCGUGGUUCAGUUUCUCCGGACGAAAAGAGGACUGGGCUCUCCCCCUCUCCUAAGGUGGUCAAGACUCUGAGGAUGGUGGCCAAGGAGGACAGAGCAGCAAGGCACAGGGAAGAAAAUGCUCCUUCUGCCUAUCUGCCCCCUUCCAGAUGGCUCUCAACAUACUCUAGGCCACAGCUGUAGGCCCUG
rnacentral:lncRNA from 1 species